GAUGUUGAGGGGGUGGCAUAAACCUUCGACAAGAGAAGCGCUUUUCGAAGACAACAUAUUUGCGCAAGUAUUCCAAUGACAUACAUUAAACCACUAUAUAGAAAAACUAGAUUGCUGUAAUCAAAGGGAAUAGUUAUAAUUUUGUUGUACAACUUUGAAUGUCAGUCAACUGCAACGAGAAACCCCUUCAACUGUUCAAAGUGAGACCGUAUGUUUUAACUCCGUUUAAUCCGAUUGGUUUCUUCGAACGUGACGCGAGAGUGGGACGCAGUCAAUAGACCAAAACAUCAGUAGAGGCAGCAAAGCCUUGUGGAAUUGUUUCACCUGUCUGUUUGAUCGCUAAGAUCAAUAUGUGUAUGCAGAUACCUGCGACGCUGUGAGACAUUUGUAUUUGAUGAAAGUGGGCGUGUAGGUGCAGUGAAGAUCUGUCCACUACAGACACAGAACAUCUGUGAGAUCUCACUGACUCCUGCAGACAAAGGACUCUUACGUAUGACAGAGAGUCCCUCACACAUUCCACACGUAACAAAGGAAACAUGCAUGAUGUCAUCCCUGCAAUCUUCAAAGACAUCUACCGGUAAGAUGCUGUCUGGACCAGUGCACAUUGUCAUGGCAACCCGAAAGAGGGAUUCUCACGUGACCUAGUCACCGAGCUCAAGGAUUGGCCAGACAGGGGAAAGGGGGCCCCUCCUCUCAGCGGCAAGAACAUUGGAGUUGAGGCUUGGACCAAGUGCAGCUAGCAAUUGGAGUGCAGUGAGCUGGUGGCUGGGGAGCUGGGAAAGAACAUUCAUUCCACUGUUCAUGGUGGAAACAAAAGAAUUUGAAAAGCGGGUCGGGAGGAUUUUUAGCUCCAUUUUGGGAAAGAGGGUGUCGUUCUAUUUCACUGUCCCUCCAAAGGAUGACAUAUGUGAGCUGUGAUCAUGGUCCAGGGUACACCCUGAUUCACCCAGGCCACAGACACUGAGGCAAAGACAAUAGUCUGUGAUGGGUCCAGUUAGCCAAACCCGGGAGGAGAUGUGAAAGUGUUUCUGGGACAUACCGGUGAGGUCAUUGUGUAGUCUUUGCCACGAACACACUCAUUUCCAGUGCAUCUCCAUUCUUCGUGAAACAUUCAAACACAGAGUUGCUUCCUAUCCAUUGAAUACUGUAACGGACUUCAAUGACAUUCCUUUCUGAAGUUUAAGUUUGACAAUCACAACAACAAAUACAACCGUUUUCCCAAGAAAUCAGGACCACUCCACACAGACUUACACAAAAUGACCAUGCACUACUGCUCGAAUAAGGUUCAGCUAAAUUUCCCAGGGUUUUCGGUGAACAAUUCAUUAACUGUCUUGUUAUCUCUGAUCUGUGUUUGCCAGAGUGAACAUACAGUCUCGUGAUUGGCUGGCUCUGGCUGAGCUCUUGUUGGGACAGCGGCUGUCACAGCCAAUCAGAGAGAUUGCUCAAACGCAGCACUCCAGAGUUAUGUAUUUUCACUUCUAAUGCAAUACUGUAGCUGGGCAGACAGACUGGUGGAGUGUUAGGCUCACUAAUAAAACGUGCUCUCCCUGUAACCAAAGCAUCCAGUUCUCCAAGGGAACAACCGAGUAAAAUGAAAGUGUAACUCAAUAUAACAUUAAUGAAGCAUUACUACAGUAUACUCUUUAAUUAAUGUUACCUUUUUUUUAAAUCAUUCGUCACUCAAAAUUAUUGUUUUCCAUUGCCUUUGUGUUAGGUUAUUUUAUGGUUUGUUGCCAUGUAAAGAGGUAACAUUAGAACUGUACGUGGCUUAGUGGAGUAAACUGUAGAGACGAUCCUACAUGAGACAAUUACCUCAGCAGUCGAAGCCCUUAGCCCUUAGUAAAGGGUGGUCCAUCCUGUUGGUCACGCACACACACACACACACACACACACACACACACACACACACACACACACACACACACACACACACACACACACACACACACACACACACACACACACACACACACACACACACACACACACACACACACACAAAUCAGUCGCAGCCAAAUGCAUGAAAAUCCAUUCAUUUUCCAGUUAUGUUGACUUUUCCAAAGAGACAGAGAAGAGCUUUGAUCAUCAGCAUAAAAGAAGGUGUAGAACAAAAGACAGUACAGAUGGUUUCCUUCCUAAAGUCAGAGAGUAUCGACUGUACUGUAACUGUUGUGGUUUAAAAUGAACUGUACUGUAACUGUUGUGGUUUAAAAUGAACUGUACUGUGACUGUUGUGGUUUAAAAUGAACUGUACUGUGACUGUUGUGGUUUAAAAUGAACUGUACUGUAACUGUUGUGGUUUAAAAUGAACUGUACUGUAACUGUUGUGGUUUAAAAUGAACUGUACUGUAACUGUUGUGGUUUAAAAUGAACUGUACUGUGACUGUUGUGGUUUAAAAUGAACUGUACUGUGACUGUUGUGGUUUAAAAUGAACUGUACUGUAACUGUUGUGGUUUAAAAUGAACUGUACUGUAACUGUUGUGGUUUAAAAUGAACUGUACUGUAACUGUUGUGGUUUAAAAUGAACUGUACUGUAACUGUUGUGGUAUAAAAUGAACUGUACUGUAACUGUUGUGGUUUAAAAUGAACUGUACUGUAACUGUUGUGGUUUAAAAUGAACUGUACUGUAACUGUUGUGGUUUAAAAUGAACUCAA